AGAGGGAGAAAGGGUGGGGAAGAAGAAAGAAGAAAAAGACAAGAAGGGAGAAUGGAAUGAAAGACAAAAGAAAAUCUAGCAGAGGGAAUGAGGGCAAACCAUGGAAGACAGAGGAAGGAACAAGAUGGAAUGGAGGAGAAGAGUGAGAAAAAAGACUGGAAGGUGGAGAAGAGAGAAAGAUUGGAAACAAGAAACACCUGAAGAGGAGUGAUAGCAAGGGUGGAGAAAGGCAGGAGAUGAGGAAAAGAGGGACAAUCAAAAGAAGGAGUUGGUGAGGCAGAUGAGUGGAAGGGAGGAGAAGAAGAAUGGAAAAGAGGAGACCAAUCAAAAGAAAGGAGGUUGGGUUGGGCAGGGAUGAGUGGAAGGGAGAAGAGAAGAAUGGAAAAACGAGGAGGACCAAUCAAAGAAAGGAGGUUGGAAUGGGGCCGGGAUGAGUGGAGGGAGAGAGAGAAGAAUGGAAAAGAGGAGACCAAUCAAAAGAAAGGAGGUUUGGAAUGAGGGCCGGAUGGUGGAAGGGAGAGAAGAAUGGAAAAGAGGACAACAAUCGAAGAAAAGGAGGUUGGAAUGAGGGCAGGGAUGAGUGGAAGGGAGAGAAGAAUGGAAAAGAGGAGACCAUCAAAGAAAGGAGGUUGGAAUGAGGGCCGGGAGAGUGGAAGGGAGAGAAGAAUGGAAAAGAGGGACAACAAUCGAAGAAAGGAGGUUGGAAUGAGGGCUGGGAUGAGUGUGGAAGGAGGAGAAUGGAAAAAGAGGAAAAAAUCAAGAAAAGGGUUGGAAUGAGGGCCGGGAUGAGUGGAAGGGAGGGAGUGGAAGAACGACAAGGAUGACUAUAAGGACCUUGGCAAAGGAGGAGGAAGGAGAGAGGAGAGAAAAGGGAGUGGAAGGGAGAGAGAAAGAUUGGACAAAGAAAAGACAGAAAGAAAGACGUCAGUAAAGAGUGGAAGAGUAGGACAACAGGAGAGAAAAUGAU
rnacentral:lncRNA from 1 species